ACGAACGCUGGCGGCAUGCCUAACACAUGCAAGUCGAACGAGACCUUCGGGUCUAGUGGCGCACGGGUGCGUAACGCGUGGGAACCUGCCCUUAGGUUCGGAAUAACUCCCCGAAAGGGGUGCUAAUACCGGAUAAUGUCUUCGGACCAAAGAUUUAUCGCCUUUGGAUGGGCCCGCGUUGGAUUAGCCAGUUGGUAGGGUAAAAGCCUACCAAGGCGACGAUCCAUAGCUGGUCUGAGAGGAUGAUCAGCCACACUGGGACUGAGACACGGCCCAGACUCCUACGGGAGGCAGCAGUGGGGAAUAUUGGACAAUGGGCGAAAGCCUGAUCCAGCAAUGCCGCGUGAGUGAUGAAGGCCUUAGGGUUGUAAAGCUCUUUUAUCCGGGAUGAUAAUGACAGUACCGGGAGAAUAAGCUCCGGCUAACUCCGUG
rnacentral:rRNA from 1 species